rnacentral:sRNA from 1 species
ACAAUUACAGAGUGAUCCAGUUUAUGUAUCUCGAGUCCAUUGACAUUAUGAAAUUUGUUAACAGUUUGGUUUGUCUUUUGAAUCACAUCAGUAUAUGCAUUUUUUCGCAUGCUUUUUUUAGUAAAUACAUGUAUGCACAAUGAGGACAUAUGUAAUUUUUAAACAUCUCUGAAAAUUUUGUGUCUAAGUAAAACAAAUCGAAUGGGUACUGUAGUAUUCAAAUCCUUACCUUUAUUUUUCCUUUUCAAUGAAAUUGUAUUUAGUUGUUCUCUGUAAUAUCAAUAAAAGUUGUCUUUUUUCCAUAACGUAAUAGAAACGUAGACAUCAUUUGAGCAGAACAUUUUCAAAUUUUUUUAAAUAUUUAAUAGAUAUUAUACCAUCUUUUUUUACAUAUUACAUAGCGUUAAAAGUCACAUUUAGCGCGUCGUUAAUAAAACAUGAUUGAUUUUAUUUUACUCGUGGAUUUUGUAAUAUGCAAAAUAUUGUGUUACCUAAAAAGUAAAACUGUUUACAAACAGUAAACUAGCAAUUUUCUUUUUCUUUAUCUAAUUUAAAUUUUUCCUCGUAGAACUUUUUACAUCGCUUCUAACAAUUUACCUAGCUGAAAUAUCAAAAUAUUUAUAGUUAUCAGGAGAAAUUCAGAUUUUAGUUUUAUGUUCUAAGAAUUCCAUAUUUGUAUGUCUCAAACUAGUCACAUGUAAAUUAGAUGGGUUUUUUGUGGAUCAAAGAUCAAAAUUGUUUGCUUUUUUUCAUGUCUUGUUCAUGUAAAAUGUACCAAAAGGGAGAUACCUAUUUCAUAUUUGUUUAAAAUGUAUUCUAUUUAUAUUCAAUAAAAAG